AGAGUUUGAUCAUGGCUCAGAACGUACGCUGGCGGCACGCCUAACACAUGCAAGUCGAACGAAGUAGCAAUACUUAGUGGCAGACGGGUGAGUAACAUGUGGGUAUCUGCCCUUUGGCCUGGAAUAACACGAGGAAACUUGUGCUAAUACCGGAUAAGUCUUUACGGAGAAAGCUUUAUGCACCAUUGGAUGAGCCCGCACUUGAUUAGUUUGUUGGUGGGGUAAUGGCCUACCAAGACUGUGAUCAAUAGCUGAUUUGAGAGGAUGAUCAGCCACAUUGGGACUGAGACACGGCCCAAACUCCUACGGGAGGCAGCAGUGGGGAAUCUUGCACAAUGGAGGAAACUCUGAUGCAGCGAUGCCGCGUGAGUGAAGAAGGCCCUUGGGUUGUAAAGCUCUUUCGUCGGGGAAGAAAAUGACUGUACCCGAAUAAGAAGGUCCGGCUAACUUCGUGCCAGCAGCCGCGGUAAUACGAAGGGACCUAGCGUAGUUCGGAAUUACUGGGCUUAAAGAGUUCGUAGGUGGUUGAAAAAGUUAGUGGUGAAAUCCCAGAGCUUAACUCUGGAACUGCCAUUAAAACUUUUCAGCUAGAGUAUGAUAGAGGAAAGCAGAAUUUCUAGUGUAGAGGUGAAAUUCGUAGAUAUUAGAAAGAAUACCAAUUGCGAAGGCAGCUUUCUGGAUCAUUACUGACACUGAGGAACGAAAGCAUGGGUAGCGAAGAGGAUUAGAUACCCUCGUAGUCCAUGCCGUAAACGAUGUGUGUUAGACGUUGGAAAUUUAUUUUCAGUGUCGCAGCGAAAGCGAUAAACACACCGCCUGGGGAGUACGACCGCAAGGUUAAAACUCAAAUGAAUUGACGGGGACCCGCACAAGUAGUGGAGCAUGUGGUUUAAUUCGAAGAUACGCGCAGAACCUUACCAACACUUGACAUGUUCGUCGCGACUCUAAGAGAUUAGAGUUUUCGGUUCGGCCGGACGAAACACAGGUGCUGCAUGGCUGUCGUCAGCUCGUGUCGUGAGAUGUUGGGUUAAGUCCCGCAACGAGCGCAACCCUCACUUUUAGUUGCCAUCAUUAAGUUGGGCACUCUGAAAGAACUGCCAGUGAUAAGCUGGAGGAAGGUGGGGAUGACGUCAAGUCCUCAUGGCCCUUACGUGUUGGGCUACACACGUGCUACAAUGGUAUCUACAACAGGAAGCAAGACUGCGAGGUCAAGCAAAUCCUUAAAAGAUACCUCAGUUCGGAUUGCACUCUGCAACUCGAGUGCAUGAAGCUGGAAUUACUAGUAAUCGUGGAUCAGCGUGCCACGGUGAAUGCGUUCCCGGGUCUUGUACACACCGCCCGUCACACCAUGGGAGUUGGUUCUACCUUAAGGCAAGGUUUCAAACCCUUGACCACGGUAUAGUCAGCGACUGGGGUGAAGUCGUAACAAGGUAACCG
rnacentral:rRNA from 1 species